rnacentral:siRNA from 1 species
UGCUCCUCGGCUUCAAGCUGC